GUAGGGAAUAUUGGGCAAUGGAGGCAACUCUGACCCAGCCAUGCCGCGUGCAGGAUGACGGCCCUCUGGGUUGUAAACUGCUUUUAUACGGGAAGAAAAAAUACUACGUGUAGUAUACUGACGGUACCGUAAGAAUAAGGAUCGGCUAACUCCGUGCCAGCAGCCGCGGUAAUACGGAGGAUCCAAGCGUUGUCCGGAUUUAUUGGGUUUAAAGGGUGCGUAGGCGGAUCUUUAAGUCAGUGGUGAAAGCCUGCAGCUUAACUGUAGAAUUGCCAUUGAAACUGAAGAUCUUGAAUGUGGUUAAAGUAGGCGGAAUGUAUCAUGUAGCGGUGAAAUGCUUAGAUAUGAUACAGAACACCGAUAGCGAAGGCAUCUUGCUGAACCAUUAUUGACGCUGAGGCACGAAAGCGUGGGGAGCGAACAGGAUUAGAUACCCGAGUAGUCC
rnacentral:rRNA from 1 species